rnacentral:rRNA from 1 species
CGGGGUGCAGCAGGCGCGAAAACUUUACAAUGCCGGCAACGGCGAUAAGGGAACCUCGAGUGCCAGGUUACAAAUCUGGCUGUCGUGAUGCCUAAAAAGCAUUGCAUAGCAAGGGCCGGGCAAGACCGGUGCCAGCCGCCGCGGUAACACCGGCGGCUCGAGUGGUAACCGUUAUUAUUGGGUCUAAAGGGUCUGUAGCCGGCCGGGUAAGUCUCUUGGGAAAUCUGGCAGCUUAACUGUCAGGCUUUCAGGAGAUACUGCCUGGCUUGAGGCCGGGAGAGGUGAGAGGUACUUCAGGGGUAGGGGUGAAAUCUUGUAAUCCUUGAAGGACCACCAGUGGCGAAGGCGUCUCACCAGAACGGACCUGACGGCAAGGGACGAAAGCUAGGGGCACGAACCGGAUUAGAUACCCGGGUAGUCCUAGCCGUAAACGAUACUCGCUAGGUGUCGGCCACGGUGCGGCCGUGGUCGGUGCCGUAGGGAAGCCGUGAAGCGAGCCACCUGGGAAGUACGGCCGCAAGGCUGAAACUUAAAGGAAUUGGCGGGGGAGCACAAGGGCGAAUNGC